rnacentral:rRNA from 1 species
UACGUAGGGGGCAAGCGUUGUUCGGAAUUACUGGGCGUAAAGGGCGCGUAGGCGGCACAGCAAGUCGGGAGUGAAAGCCCGGGGCUCAACCCCGGAAUGGCUUUCGAAACUGCUGAGCUAGAGUACAGAAGGGGCAACCGGAAUUCCCAGUGUAGCGGUGAAAUGCGUAGAUAUUGGGAAGAACACCUGAGGCGAAGGCGGGUUGCUGGGCUGAUACUGACGCUGAGGCGCGAAAGCCAGGGGAGCGAACGGG